UACGUAGGGGGCAAGCGUUGUCCGGAAUCAUUGGGCGUAAAGAGCGUGUAGGCGGCUCGGUAAGUCCGCUGUAAAAAGUCCAGGGCUCAACCCUGGAAAGCCGGUGGAAACUGUCGGGCUAGAGUCCGGAAGAGGCGAGUGGAAUUCCUGGUGUAGCGGUGAAAUGCGCAGAUAUCAGGAGGAACACCAAUGGCGAAGGCAGCUCGCUGGGACGGUACUGACGCUGAGACGCGAAAGCGUGGGGAGCAAACAGG
rnacentral:rRNA from 1 species